AGUACGAAGGGAACAGUAAACAUGGGCAAUUGGUUCUAUUUAAUGUUGUUCGCUAUUUGCUUCGUGGCUAGCUGCGGCUUGUCAACUGCAUCGGCUAUUGAGGAUAUGGAGGCUGCAGCUUACCUUCAGCCACCUGUUCGGGUUGUCAGAGAAACUAAACUACCGAAAGUGCCUGACCUGCCCAAAAUACCUGAUUUGCCCAACGCCCCAUUAUUGACUACAGUAUUGACUUAAAAAGAUUAUACAAGACAACAAGAGCAACAACUGUUUCAUUAUGUUUAGUUUAGUAAAAACUGAAAAUAUAAUUUCACAAUCAUAAUAUGGUUUAUAGUUUCUUGUUAUUUAAUAAUUUUAGGUAAUAAAUGAAAAAAAAACAUUGUUAUCGUAUUAAAGCAGAACAUUUACAAAAUC